AAGUCUUGACAUAUUUUGGAAGCACUUAGAGAUAAGUGCCUAUAUCUUCGGAUAACUGAAAUACAGGUGGUGCAUGGUUGUCGUCAGCUCGUGUCGUGAGAUGUUGGGUUAAGUCCCAUAACGAGCGCAACCCCUAUGGCUAGUUACCAUCAUUAAGUUGGGGACUCUAGCAAUACUGCCGGUGACAAACCGGAGGAAGGUGGGGAUGACGUCAAAUCAUCAUGCCCUUUAUGACG
rnacentral:rRNA from 1 species